rnacentral:sRNA from 1 species
UUCAGAUUUGGCCAACAUAUGUUCACCUGGGCAAAUGCAAUAGACGUAAUCACCAAGUUUUUUAACACAAACACUGAACUUUCAGAGCUCAAGAUGUUUAAAGCCAGCCAUGAAGGCCAGUUUGGAAAUGGAGAGAGCGCCAUCAAGCAGGCUGUGGAGAAGGUCGAGGCAAAUGUGGAAUGGAUGGGCAAGAAUCUCGAUCGUAUUAGUGAUUUGUUGUCUGCCUACGCUCAUUAAAUACAAAUAAAUUUUUUAAAAUUA